GUAGGUGAGAAUUCCGAGGUCUCCUAACUCAUCCCCCGCAGAAGCUGAGUUGAGAUUUCACUCUGGGGGAGCCAGAUGGAACUGCGUGACCGCCAAUCUCCCCCAAUCAGCUCUACAGAGGAGUGGGAGAACUUCAGGCAUGAGGUGGAUAGAUGAUGGCUGUCUGGGACAUGACGGCCUGCUGAUUUCUUGUUCAAAGACUUGUGGGUGUCUAGGCUGGAUAGGAUUCCAGCAUGUUCCUUUCUGGAUUGCCAUGGGAAGAGUUAUUAAGGAACGGGCACUCGUCAAAGGAACUAUGGCUGCCGAUGAGGAGACAACUUUAACUCCUGUGCUGGGUAUAAAUAUGCAAGUGCUGACAUGGGCUGCAUUUUUCAAUUUUAUGGCCAAGUGACGUCUACAGCCGACUGAUAAAUGGAAGCUUUGAGGUAGGAGAGUUGGGCUAAGAUUUUUCUCUCUCUUUCCCUCCAAUUACUCAAAGAAGGAGAAAAGUUUUAGACAGAGAUAAAUGGAAAAUAUCCAGUGCCUUCAGAUAUAUGACUCCCCAGAUCUCCUGUCUGGGUAAAUCAGAACUUCUCAUGGCUACAGAUAAUGAGAUAAUUAAAAAGCAGUAAAUAUAAGUGUGGAUUACUGUCUGCCAUUAAGCUCAGAAAGGGCUUCUGAUCAUGAAACACUGGCUCUGUAUUUUGAAACAUCGUAUCAAUUACAAGAGACACUUUUACAGAUCUCUCUAAGAGAUAUUUACAUAAAACUAUAUUUCUAUACACUACAGAAAAUACCCCAAGUAUAGAUUUAAUCAAAACUGUAAAUAAGACUAAAGGUAGGCUGUAGGGGUGAAAUAUGCAGCUGUAAAAAUCUUAGCAAAAAUUUAAAUCAGUUUCAUUCUGAAUUAUAUUGGCCUUCGUAUCUCUUACAUCUCCCUCAGCCCCCAGCCUCCUCUUCGACUACUUCACCUUAAUCCUCUUACACUGGAGAUGAGACAUUUGGGGGGAUAAAUGUCACGGUGGCUUUAUGCUUGCUUCUGUGUUUGUGGAGGAGGGGGUUUAAAGGUGGAGGGUGUAUUUCUUACUCCACAGUGCAUUACCCUGGUCCUUAGUCGCGAGGUACUAUGAGUGAUGGGAUGGAUACAGGUUUGGGUGUGCCUGACUAUGGGCUGACUCCUAUUUGAGGCCAGCGUCUCAUGCCAGCUUAUGCUCUGUGGUAGCAGGACUGGCAGACAGUGAAAGAUUUCUCCCUUUGAGCUGUGCUACCGUAGAGUCUGUUUAGCACACUGCAAGGGGUUCGGCGCAGAGCUACAGCAGUCUGAGGCAGUGGGCCGUGGGGGUCUCCAUUUAGAGAGUCCUUGGGUUUCCUAUCAUUUCCUGUCAUUCCCAUCAUGUGGAUGAAAGCGGCCCAGACUGGUUGGCGUUUCUGACCUGGGAUGUUAGCCCAAAUCCCUAUGCCUGUGAUCUACAGAGUUUCAGUCUCUGCCUUGCAGAUGAAGGCUAUACAAAGGAGAGCUAUGCAAAUGAGGGCAUUUCUGAUUGGUCUGUGUUCUUAUAUCGGGCAGAAGCUUGUAUUACACCAUUGGUCCACUGUGCUCCAGGGUCCCUGUUUGGUGGGAGGCGAGGACAGUCUGAUUGGGAGUCUUGCCGUUUGAAUGUGAAGUGUCCCCCAUAGGUUUGAACACUCAGUCCUCAGAUGGUUGUGCUUUUUAGGAAGGGACUGUGAACCUUUAAGAGGUGGAAACUGGGAAAGGGGAUAAUAUUUGAAAUGUAAAUAAAUAAAAUAAUCCAAAAAGAAAAAAAAAAAAAAAGAGGUGGCGCCCCAUUGGAGAAAAUGGAUCAUUGGAGGUGGGCUUUGAGCUAUAUAGCCAGGAUCCACUUCCUGUUCACUAGUCGGAGAGCAAAGAUGGAGAGUGUACAGCCAGCCUCUGUGCCUGUCAAAAUGUUUCCUUUCGUGAUAGAAUGCCCUACUGUCAAUGACCCUCCCUCCAGCUGUCAGUCAAAAUAAACUCCCUAAGUUACUUCUUACCAGGUAUUUGGUUAAAUCAACAAUAUUGGGAUAAUUUUUUCCAAUUUGCUAAAAUAGAAUAUCAUGACAACUCAUAAAGAACAGAAAUGUAUGGAAUCUGGGACAUCCAGGAUUAUGCUACCAAAAGGAAGCACAAGUGUCUUGUCUUAAUCAACAAGUCUUAAGUGUCACUGCUCAGCUUUGCUGAGACUGGAGUUGUCUGUGAAGCUACAUAGCCUCUCAUCUACACAUCUUUUUAUUGAGUGAAAAAAAAAACAGAGUGAGUGAAUAAAUAAAAAUGAAAACCAGGAUGAGAGACAUUUUUAAAAUGAAUCAGAUGUUAUGAUGGGACACGACCAUUACCCAUGGUGUUUUACAAAUGCAGCUGGCAGCAUUUACUACAAAAGUGGGUUUGAGACAUUCAUUCUAGGUCUUUGAGGAUGGGAUACAUAUGCUUGUUCACAUAGAUGUGUGUAAAACAUCCGCCUGCCACAUAUGUAUUGAAUGCCUUUGAGCAAAUCCUGGAACCUUUGUAAUCUGUUGUUUCCUUAACUCCACUUAAGAUCAUCAUCAUCAUCAUCAUCAUCAUCAUCAUCAUCAUGCCUAUGAAUGUGCACAUGUGUGCAUGUGUAGUUAUGUGCAUGUGAGAGAAAAUGGCCCAAGGAGGCCAGAGUCACAAGAUGCCUCUCAGCUGGAGUUAAAGGCUGUUGUUAGCUUUCCUACAUGGGUGCUGGGAACUGAACAGGGCUCUUCGGGAAGAAUAGUAUGUACCCACAACCACUGAGCCAUCUCUAUGACCCCUAUCUUCUUACUCUAGGAGGGGGCUUGCCACAAUCCAGCCUGGCAUGAAAGGGUCCCAAGGAAAGGUAGCGAUGGGGUAUUGAGUCAGUGGUGAAACCAAAGCUUAUUUAUCUUUGGCAAUUCUUCUGUCUAUGACUCUUUGCUAUUCUAAGGCCAAAUGCCUUUGGUUUCUGGAUGUCUGCCCAACAAGGUAAGCUAAUGCCCAGGAAUCAUUAGGCUACGUAGUGGUGACAGAAAAGGCACAUCAGCUGCUUUUAAGAAGCAAUCCUAAGAUGAAGUCUGACCUUGCCUCUCAGAGCUCAUCCAUCAUAAGCUAUGCGAAAACAGUGAGUGGGCCACCUCCAGGAAAGUCACCCACUAGCCCUCACCUCUCCUGGAUGGCUCCUGAAAGGGGGUUAAGUAUUUUCUAUAACAAAAUAAAAUCUAAUAAG
ensembl:processed_transcript